rnacentral:tRNA from 1 species
AGUAAGAUAAGCUAACUUAAAGCUAGUGGGCUCAUAACCCAAAAAUGAUAUAACUCUCUUACUA